GACGAACGCUGGCGGCGUGCCUAAUACAUGCAAGUUGAGCGAUGAAGCUUGGUGCUUGCACCAAUUUGAAGAGCAGCGAACGGGUGAGUAACGCGUGGGGCAUCUGCUUUUUAUCGGGGGACAACAUUUGGAAACGAAUGCUAAUACCGCAUAACAACUUUAAACAUAAGUUUUAAGUUUGAAAGAUGCAAUUGCAUCACUCAUAGAUGAUCCCGCGUUGUAUUAGCUAGUUGGUGAGGUAAAGGCUCACCAAGGCGAAGAUACAUAGCCUACCUGAGAGGGUGAUCGGCCACAUUGGGACUGGGACACGGCCCAAACUCCUACGGGAAGCAGCAGUAGGGAAUCUUCGGCAAUGGACGAAAGUCUGACCGAGCAACGCCGCGUGAGUGAAGAAGGUUUUCGGAUCGUAAAACUCUGUUGGUAGAGAAGAACGUUGGUGAGAGUGGAAAGCUCAUCAAGUGACGGUAACUACCCAGAAAGGGACGGCUAACUACGUG
rnacentral:rRNA from 1 species